UAGAUAUAUUUUGGACCCUUCUCAAGUCAUUUUAAUCCUCGCCUAUUGGCUCAGGCUACAAUGAGUCCAUGCAUACGUGACUAGAAAUUUAACGUUACUAAAUAAAAUCAUUCAAAUCAUUUAGUUACAACAAACUUAGUUAGCCCAUAGUAACUCUUGGCAAGUGGAAUUGGAGACGGAGUCAAGGGAAAAUCCGUAGUAAGCUCUCGCCUUUCUAACGUUGAGUAUGUCUCUACUAUGAUUAACCCUUUAAGAUAAAUUUAUUUUACCUGAAUCCCGAUUCCCUUAUUUAACAGUGGGUGGAAGAUGUAAAUGGAAACUAUUAGAAGAACUCCACAAAGUUAUAUUAAAAAACAUUGGAAGCAAAGGAAAAAACAACGGGAGAGGACACAUAAUUAAAUGGAAAAUAUUUAGAAAAGGAGGAAGAAGAGGCCGUUAGUGAAAAGACUUUGACGAACCAAGGGAAUGUCCUGCCCUAACAAGUUUUCGCUUCUGUUUAUUAUCAUUUUGGUCAAUAGUUGAUUUUCGUUCCAAACGAGUAUGAUGUGAAACUGCUGGUUUUGCGAUCUUAUUAGUAUCGUAUUGGACUCUCUCCAAUGUACUAUUUUUCCAUCAGCUUGUUUUAGACAUUAUAUACAUGCAGUUAGUAAGCACAUUUUGUCCGGAAGACUCAAUGAUUGUAACUAGUAGAUAGCCUUAUACCACCAUCGUUCGUAUAUCACUAGAUAAUCUGCACAUGGCUUUUCAUUUCCGUAGUUAUUCUUGGUAUUAAAAAUGCACAAUUGUGAAA